CGAGGAUCCGCCGUGCACUCUUCACACCGUUCCAGACGACGCAGAUUUCAUUUCUACUGAUCAAAGUUGAGAAGAAGUAAUCUAGUCAAGAUGAGUAUCUUUGCUUACAUUUUCGCCCUUUUCAUGGUUGUCCUUACCAUAAUGUCGUGCGCACCCCUUGCCCUAGUCAUGGCUGGUGACACGACGACUGGUGCUACAGCAGCAGCUGACGUUGAUGCUACAACUCCAACAGG